UACGUAGGGGGCGAGCGUUGUCCGGAGUUACUGGGCGUAAAGGGCGUGCAGGCGGUGCAGUAAGUUUGGAGUGACAGUAGCCGGCUCAACUGGGUAAGGUCUUCAAAGACUGCCGGACUUGAGGGCCAGAGAGGGACAUAGAAUUCCGGGUGGAGUGGUGAAAUGCGUAGAUAUCCGGAGGAAUACCAAAGGCGAAGGCAGUGUCCUGGCUGGCAUCUGACGCUGAGGCGCGAAAGCUAGGGGAG
rnacentral:rRNA from 1 species